UACGUAGGGUGCGAGCGUUGUCCGGAAUUACUGGGCGUAAAGAGCUCGUAGGCGGUCUGUCGCGUCGGAUGUGAAAGCCCGGGGCUUAACCCCGGGCCUGCAUUCGAUACGGGCAGACUAGAGUGUGGUAGGGGAGAUCGGAAUUCCUGGUGUAGCGGUGAAAUGCGCAGAUACCAGGAGGAACACCGGUGGCGAAGGCGGAUCUCUGGGCCAUUACUGACGCUGAGGAGCGAAAGCGUGGGGAGCGAACAGG
rnacentral:rRNA from 1 species